rnacentral:rRNA from 1 species
AUUACCAACUUCCAUGGUGUGACGGGCGGNGUGUACAAGACCCGGGAACGCAUUCACCGCGACGUUCUGAUUCGCGAUUACUAGCAACUCCGACUUCAUGUAGGCGAGUUGCAGCCUACAAUCCGAACUGGGAUCGGUUUAUUGGGAUUCGCUCCAGAUCACUCCUUCGCUGCCCUUUGUACCGACCAUUGUAGCACGUGUGUAGCCCAAGACAUAAGGGGCAUGAUGAUUUGACGUCAUCCCCACCUUCCUCCGAUUUAUCAUCGGCAGUCUCCUUAGAGUGCCCAGCUUAACCUGCUGGCAACUAAGGAUAAGGGUUGCGCUCGUUGCGGGACUUAACCCAACAUCUCACGACACGAGCUGACGACAACCAUGCACCACCUGUCACCCUUGCUCCCGAAGGAGAGGGCACAUCUCUGUGCCGGUCAAGGGGAUGUCAAGCCUUGGUAAGGUUCUUCGCGUUGCUUCGAAUUAAACCACAUGCUCCGCUGCUUGUGCGGGUCCCCGUCAAUUCCUUUGAGUUUCAGUCUUGCGACCGUACUCCCCAGGCGGAGUGCUUAUUGUGUUUACUUCGGCACUGAAUAUCGCUACCCAACACCUAGCACUCAUCGUUUACAGCGUGGACUACCAGGGUAUCUAAUCCUGUUUGCUACCCACGCUUUCGUGACUCAGCGUCAGUUACAGUCCAGUAAGUCGCCUUCGCCACUGGUGUUCCUCCUAA